rnacentral:rRNA from 1 species
AUAACAAUACCGGACUUUUACAGUCAGGUAGUUGGAAUGAGUACAAUCUAAAACCCUUAACGAGGAACAAUUGGAGGGCAAGUCUGGUGCCAGCAGCCGCGGUAAUUCCAGCUCCAAUAGUGUAUAUUAAAGUUGCUGCAGUUAAAAAGCUCGUAGUUGGAUUUCAGGGUCACCUGGCCGGUCUGCCGAUAGGUAAGCACUGGUCGCGUGACUCUUCCUUCUGAAGGCGUCUCUUGGCAUUAAUUUGUCGGGGGUUCGAAUUCAGGACGUUUACUUUGAAUAAAUUAGAGUGUUUAAAGCAGGCCACUGCCUUGAAUACAUUAGCAUGGAAUAAUGGAAUAGGACUUUGGUUCUAUUUUGUUGGUUUCUGGGACCAAAGUAAUGAUUAAUAGGGAUAGUUGGGGGCGUUAGUAUUUCGUUGCUAGAGGUGAAAUUCUUAGAUUUAUGAAAGACUAACUACUGCGAAAGCAUUCGCCAAGGAUGUUUUCAUUAAUCAAGAACGAAAGUUGGGGGAUCGAAGACGAUUAGAUACCGUCGUAGUCUCAACCAUAAACUAUGUCGACUAGGGAUUGGUAGACGUUCAUUUAUGACUCUAUCAGCACCUUACGAGAAAUCAAAGUUUUUGGGUUCCGGGGGGAGUAUGGUCGCAAGGCUGAAACUUAAAGGAAUUGACGGAAGGGCACCACCAGGCGUGGAGCCUGCGGCUUAAUUUGACCCAACACGGGGAAACUUACCAGGUCCAGACAUAAUAAGGAUUGACAGAUUGAGAGCUCUUUCUUGAUUUUAUGAGUGGUGGUGCAUGGCCGUUCUUAGUUGGUGGAGUGAUUUGUCUGGUUAAUUCCGAUAACGAACGAGACCUCAGCCUACUAAAUAGUUACGCGAAUCCUUGGAUUCGUGGCCAACUUCUUAGAGGGACAAUUUGUUUCUAGCGAGUGGAAGUUUGAGGCAAUAACAGGUCUGUGAUGCCCUUAGAUGUUCUGGGCCGCACGCGCGCUACACUGGUCAAUUCAACAAGUUUGUCCUUGACCGAGAGGUCUGGGGAAUCUUUGAAAAUUGAUCGUGAUGGGGAUCGGGCACUGCAACUGCGCCCGUAAACGAGGAAUGCCUAGUAAGCGUGAAUCAUCAGUUCGCGUUGAUUACGUCCCUGCCCUUUGUACACACCGCCCGUCGCUCCUACCGAUCGAACGAUCCGGUGAAGUUUUCGGACUGUCGCUGCCUAGUGGUAACACUGAGCGGUGGUGGGAAGUAACCUAAACCGAAUUGUUUAGAGGAAGGAGAAGUCGUAACAAGGUU